GGGAGGUGUGGGGAGGGGACAGAGCUUGGGGGGAUGGGUGGAGGGACAGAUAGGGGCAUGGGAGGUCAGGGGCCAGGCAGGGAGUGCAGGUCUGGGCUGCACUGUCCCCUCAGCAAGAAGUUCCUGUGGGAGGAGCUGGAACUGGUGCGGGAGGAGGUGACCUUCAUCUAUCAGAAGCUCCAGGCGCAGGAGGAUGAGAUCUCAGAGAACCUGGUGAACAUUCAGAAAAUGCAGAAAACGCAGGUGAAAUGCCGCAAAAUCCUGACCAAGAUGAAGCAGCAGGGUCACGAGACAACUGCCCGGCCGGAGACUGAAGAGAUACCGCAGGGAGCCAGUGGCUGCUGGAAGGAUGACCUCCAGAAGGAACUGAGUGAUAUAUGGUGAUGCCCAGCCCACAGUCUGACCCCUGACCCUCCUCUGAACCCCUUCCCCCAACGGGAUCUGGCAGCGACCACCAGAACCUGGAGCCCACCUGAGUCCAGACCUCCCUCACCCCCUAGGACUCACCCCCACCACGGCCCCCAACCUUAGCCCUACUGCUGUCCA
rnacentral:sRNA from 1 species